UCCACAGCCCCACAACCACUAGCAGUUUGAUGUUGUCGCCACUCGCCACCGGCUACUCACUCAAUUCUCAAUAGUUCCAUUGUCAAUGUCAAUUUCCUCACCUUUAAACCAAAUUUAAGGCCAAAUUUAAGCCUUGAACCAUAGAACAACCUUCAAAGUUUUCAGCUUUAUGACCUUGUCCAUUUCUUAAUCUGGAAUGAUGGCUGAUUGCCUCUGUAGCAUUCUCAACUCCCGCGCUAUCACCAGCCUCUCCCUCCUCAUCCCUCGCUGUCCACCUCAGAAUCCCUUUAUUUCCCUCCCAGCUCUUUCCUUUGCCAACCCCAGGGUUCCAAGAAGAAGGAAAGAAAAGCAACUUUUGUUCUGUAUAAGUAAUAAUGAAUCCUCGUCCUCAAUUUCUUCCUCAUCGAAAAUUGACAUCAUUUCCACCCGUGAGCAUUCUGAUGGUAGUAUAGUCUUUCAGUUUGGGGACCCCCGUGAGGCUAUGAAGGAUGAUGAAUUAAAGCAAUCCAGUUUGAGCAAUAAAGGAGGGGAAAGUGACGGUCAGGUGGAAUCUAGGGUGGUGAAGGUUUUGGAUGGUGAUCACGAGAGGAAGGUUAUAGUCAAAAAAAUGGAAAGAGAAGUCAGGGUUCACAGCUCAAAUUUGGUCGCUGAUAGUGGCACUUCAGGGGUUGUUAGUACUAAUGAAGAGAGCAGUACUAGUAGUUUUCUGGAAGGACCUAGUAAAUCAAGUGAGAAGUUAAAUGCUGAAGUGCCUGUUUCUGGUUUAAGUGUAGAAAAAGUUUGGAACGUUUCUAGUUCCGAGUUAAAUGCAAAUACUCUUAUAGAUGCCGAUGAUACUCUGUCAACAGUCUCUGUGCUUGAAAAACGUAGUAAAAAAGGAAGUGGCGAAACUUCUGAGGUAUUACUUGAUGGUAAAGGAGAUAAUGAAGUUCUGCAACAGUUGGUAUCUGUGAAGCCUGAGUCGCCUACAGAAGUAACAGAUACUGUUCACCAGGAAAGUGAUUCCGAGAGUGUUGAACUUCUGGAUUUGCCUGGAGAUAGUGAGUCUCAUAGUUUAGAAUCUGGGAUAAAUAAUAUAAUCAUGGAUGAUAGCAGUGACAAUGACACCAUUGAAGUCAUGCCUGUGUCUCCUCAAACUGAUGCUGAACCAACUCUUGAUGAGGAAGCUGGUUGUAUUGCAGUUGACACUUUUGGAGAAGAAGAUACAUCCAUCCAAAUAUCAGAGAUCAAAAGUGACCAGUCAAUCGUACUCUCAGAAGCAGGAAUAGGUCUGGACAAGUUACAAAGAAGUGACAAUUCUGAAAGAUCAAGUCUUGAAAUCAUACAAUUGGAAUCCCCGGAAGUUCCAGUGGAUGGUGAGGAAAUCCCCAUAGCAGAAAUUGUUUUAUCAUCUGCUGCUGCAUUGUUGCCACAUCCCGCUAAGCUAUUGACGGGUGGAGAGGAUGCAUACUUUAUCUCUGGCCGAUAUUGGUUGGGAAUAGCAGAUGGGGUUGGCCGAUGGUCGGAUCGCGGUAUUGAUGCAGGAGUUUAUGCCAGGGAACUCAUGGAGAAUUGUGAAAAGAUUGUCUCAGAGGGCAACGGAUCCAUAACUAUAGGAAGAGGAAGAAGAAGAGUAAGAGUAAGAGCCACCCCAGAAGAGGUCCUUAGUUUAAGUGUUGCUGAGUCCCAGUCUCCUGGAUCCUCAACUGUGUUGGUUGCUCACUUUGAUGGUCAGGCCCUUCAUGUGGUUAAUAUUGGAGAUUCUGGAUUUCUAAUACUCAGAAAUGGUGUGGUUUUCGAAAGGUCACAUCGGAUGACCUACAAGUUCAAUUUCCCAUAUCAGAUUCAAAGGGGCCAUGACCCAUCCGAACUUUUGGAGGAGUACGAGAUUGAAUUGGAGGAGGGUGACGUUAUCAUUAUUGCAACAGACGGACUCUUUGACAAUUUGUAUGAGCAAGAGAUAGUAUCAAUAGUCUCAGCUUCAUUGAGCGCUGGUAGACGACCAAAGGUCUGCUGCAUCUUGAUCAAGAUUUCUGAGUUUUGAUGAGAUCCGGACAGAAAAAUUAGCUAAUCUCUCUCUCCAUGCUCCACCACUUGCAAAUUCGGCAUUGUUUUAGCAUGAAAUGACCCAUGAGAAAUAGCUCCCUCAGCUGUGACCCAGUCAAACUGAGUGCGUUAGCAAGAGGGCCCUUCAUUCUCUUUCUCCGUUGUUUGUCUUCUCUUAUGCUUACCUGGGGAGAGGGGGAGGGAGGUGGCUGCUUGGGGCGUUUAGUAGGGAACCGACCCAACUCCGGGCCGCUCAUUAUUCAGCAUCCUUGUGCAAUGCAAUAUCACGUAAUUUCCCAGGGCACACAUUUGCAAGCGUUGUGGUUCCUGCCAAUUUGUUUAACCUGCAACUGCAUGCUUGUGAAACAUUCAUUAGAAUUGCGGAAAUGUUGGCGGCAGGAGCACAAGAGGUGGGCAGAUCCUCUACCGAAAGAAGUCCGUUUACCGAUGCAGCUCGCGCAGCUGGCGAUCCAACGCGCAAAGGUGGGAAGCUUGAUGACGUAACUGUGAUUGUAUCAUUGGUCCGAAAGGAAUACAGCAGCCAUGGCCAUGUGUUGCGAUCUUGAUGUUCAACAACUCUAGCUUCUGUCAUCAUCAUCAUAUCAUGUUGUAUCAUAUUCAAACUGACAUCAAGAAAACUCUCUGUGCUGUUGUGGUGUAUAUAAUCCUGAAGUAGUUUUCCAUAGACAGAUUAUUGAUAAAUAGCACGAUUGAUUGGCUGUAUGUAUAGCGCAGCGCACGCAUAAACGUUUCUGGAGAGUGGAUUUCAUCUGUAUACCCAAUAAUAAUAAAGUAUUCUGUUCUAGUACAUCA